UACGUAGGUGGCAAGCGUUAUCCGGAAUUAUUGGGCGUAAGCGCGCGCAGGUGGUUUCUUAAGUCUGAUGUGAAAGCCCACGGCUCAACCGUGGAGGGUCAUUGGAAACUGGGAGACUUGAGUGCAGAAGAGGAAAGUGGAAUUCCAUGUGUAGCGGUGAAAUGCGUAGAGAAUAUGGAGGAACACCAGUGGCGAAGGCGACUUUCUGGUCUGUAACUGACACUGAGGCGCGAAAAGCGUGGGGAGCAAACAGG
rnacentral:rRNA from 1 species